CAGUAGCCACGGUAAUACGGAGGGUGCAAGCGUUAAUCGGAAUUACUGGGCGUAAAGCGCACGCAGGCGGUUUGUUAAGUCAGAUGUGAAAUCCCCGAGCUUAACUCGGGAACUGCAUUUGAAACUGGCAAGCUAGAGUCUUGUAGAGGGGGGUAGAAUUCCAGGUGUAGCGGUGAAAUGCGUAGAGAUCGGGAGGAACAUCAGUGGCGAAGGCGGCCAUCUGGGACAACACUGACGCUGAGGCACGAAAGCGUGGGGAGCAAACAGGAUUAGAUACCCCGGUAGUCCCUGUCUCUUAUAC
rnacentral:rRNA from 1 species